rnacentral:rRNA from 1 species
UACGGAGGGUGCGAGCGUUGUCCGGAAUCACUGGGCGUAAAGGGCGCGUAGGCGGCCUGAUAAGUAGGGGGUGAAAUCCUGCGGCUUAACCGCAGGGCUGCCUUCUAAACUGUCAGGCUUGAGCACAGUAGAGGCAGGUGGAAUUCCCGGUGUAGCGGUGGAAUGCGUAGAGAUCGGGAAGAACAUCAGUGGCGAAGGCGGUUGCCUGGAGCUUUGCUGACGCUGAUGCGCGAAAGCGUGGGGAGCGAUCCGG